rnacentral:rRNA from 1 species
GAUGAACGCUGGCGGCGUGCCUAAUACAUGCAAGUCGAGCGAACAGACGAGGAUUUCGCUCCUCUGACGUUAGCGGCGGAUGGGUGAGUAGCACGUGGAUAACCUAUCUAUAAGACUGGGAUAACUUAUGGAAACCGGAACCAAUACCUGAUAAUAUAUAGAACUGCAUGGUUCAAUAGUGGAAGGCGGUUUUGCUGUUACUGAUAGAUGGUUCCGCGGCGCAUUAGCUGGUUGGUGAGGUGACGGUUGACCAAGGCAACGAUGCGUAGCCGACCUGAGAGGGUGAUCGGCCACAGUCGAACUGAGACACGGUCCCGACCCCUACGGGAAGCAGCAGUAGGGAAUCUUCCGCAAUGGGCGAAAGCCUGAGGGUGCAGCGCCGCGGGAGUGAUGAAGGUCUUCGGAUCGUAGAACUCUGUUAUUAGGGAAGACGAAAUGUGUAAGUAGCUGUGCACGUCUUGACGGUACCUAAAGAGAAAGCCACGGCUAACUACGUG